AUUAAUGAAAAAACAUAUGGAAUUAAGAAUCAAUUCAAAUACAUGAGAGUUUACAAGGUUACAUCAUUCCCUAACAACAAAUAGAAAUUAGUUCCCCAUAGACAUGGGGGAACUUUAUGAACAAUGGAAGAAAGAAUGAGAAUGGAAGCCUAAGAAUUUGGAAAAAAGUGUAUUGUUAUGCUCUUCUCUACCAGGGAUGCAAAAUCUAGAGCCCCAGGGUCCUUUAAAUAGUGUAAGAGGCGUGCCAAAACAGGGUCCGGUCGAAAAGAAUCGAAAUAGAGCAGAAACAGGGCCCAAAAAUCCACAAGAAUUCUCGCCCAGGCGUCCAAGGGGCUUGUUCUGGUGAGAAGAAAGCCUCAUGUGUGGCCCAGGCUAUGAAUAUGGUCGCCCAAGCUACGAGGCCUCGUCGCCCUGGCGACCAGGAUUCUCGCUUGGACGAGUGACGUCGAUACAGCUCGCUUGAGCUUCGCUUCUAGUCGCCCGGGCUUCGUGUUUUCC
rnacentral:lncRNA from 1 species